UACAUUUCUAAGAUCUACACAAGGGUGAAAGAAACCCAAUACAUAUUUUCAUUUCUAACAAAUAGCCACUCGUCGCGCGGAUAUGACGCACGGUGCGUUCUCUGACGCCACUGACUGUAUUGCCGCGAAAUGUCAAAUCAUGGCAGCAGGAUUUCAGAAAUGAUCGUCUCUUGAGUAUGAAAACCAUGAGAAGUCAAGGCAGAUCUGGCCCA